AAAACUCAAAAACUUAGUCUCAGUUCGGAUUGUAGGCUGAAACUCGCCUACAUGAAGCUGGAGUUGCUAGUAAUCGCGAAUCAGCAUGUCGCGGUGAAUACGUUCCCGGGCCUUGUACACACCGCCCGUCACACCAUGAGAGUUGGCAAUACCCAACGUACGUGAUCUAACCCGCAAGGGAGGAAGCGUCCUAAGGUAGGGUCAGCGAUUGGGGUGAAGUCGUAACAAGGUAAC
rnacentral:rRNA from 1 species